rnacentral:lncRNA from 1 species
CAGUUUUAAAUGUUCUUUUUUAUUGCUAGAAGUUGGUUUCAGUCCUAUUGCAGCUCUGAAAUCCUUCAGUGGAGAAACAUUGCAAUCAUUGUAAAAAUCAUCAUUUGGUGUGCUAAGAUCAAGUUACAAUUAAUCAUGAGUGCACAAUUCCAACAGAAUGGUAACAUUGAACCAUCGACUUUACAAAUAAAAUAAAGACUACAAAGAUGUGGCUGCUGCAGUAUCACAGAAAGGAAUUAUUUACACUGUUUACUACCCUAACGAAAAACCAAACCAAACACUUCCCCAACAAAAUGGUCAAUUUAACCACGGACCAUGAUUAGUUAUUAAAUCUUUACAGUGCAAGGUGGGCCUAGAAACCGGACCUAAGACUAAAGAGCAUCAAGAGUUCACAGCUCCGAGUGAGAUGCAGUUAUGCUGACAGGAUCUGCUUUCCAUGAGAGAUUUCCUUCCAGGUGCAAAGAGAAAUGGAAUUUGAAAUAACUUUCCUAAAAGUGCUCCAAUUGCUUUCAGUACAAAAUAUAAAAAAACUGAUUUAUAAACAUGGCACGAAUGUUCUGAACCAGAACAUCAUCUGAUGAACAACAGGCUGAUGGGAAAUGAUAGAGCCACCAGUGGGUACAAAGAUGUUGGGUCUGCCCUUGAAAGAGAGAGCAGGGAAAAGGCUUUUCUUUCACCUCUUCAGCAAGGUCAGGCAUGGCUAGCACAUGUGUAACCUGUUUUUCUUGUAAAUGCAAGAAGUGCUGGGGAAGACAACAAAAUGCUCCAAAUUUCCUUGCACAGGGGCACAACACACAGGGACUCCACUGAGCAGCACCGCGGAGCCUCAGCUCCUAUUCUGCAGAGUUGAAAGUAGAAGUGAAACAAAAUAUGGAUUUUUAACCCUUUCCUAGCUUAAGUUUCAAACUCUCAUUGUAAAUGCAAAUGACAAACACCAAGUUCCAUGGAUGCAGGAUCAUCUACUACUCAGAACGACAAAACUGUCCGCAAAUUGUUUGGAAUGACUCCUAUCUGCAGGAAUGCUACUACCUUGUGAGCAAGCAUCACGCGAAAUACUGAUUCUUCUGCCUCACAUUGGGAAAUAAUUAGUGAUCUCAAUCUGUGGGACAUGCCACAGCUACAAUCCACAGAGAGCACAGGGCAAAACUAGGAAAGCCUUUACAAUACACACAUAGUGAGCAUGGAGGGAUCCUCAGCCUGAAAUACACAAUGCCCAUAUUCCAGAUGGGAAGGGAAAGAGGAAGCCUCCUUUACGCCAGAGUGAAAACUGAAAAUCAGAACCACAGAAACAGCCUCUACAUUGCGACAUUACCACAUUAAAUGACAAACAUGGCCAGAGUUUUAAGGCUGUGACACAAAGCAAAGGCAGCAGCAGUUCAAAGCUCGUGCUGUCAUUUCCUC